AUCCCUGUGGCGCAGUGGUAGCGCGUCGUUCUUAUAUGGGAACUCGCCUUUGGGCGGUCCUGUAUGGACAGCUAUGCGAAUGUCGUGGGUUCGACCCCCACCAGGGAUA
rnacentral:tRNA from 1 species